rnacentral:snRNA from 1 species
GUGCUGGCUUCUGCAGCACAUAUACUAAAAUUGGAACGACACAGAAAUUAGUAUGGCCCCUGUACAAGGAUGACAUGCAAAUUUGUGAAGUGUUCCAUACUUUU